GAAAAACGAAAGGUCUUUCUCUAACAAUCAUUCUAUUCGAUCUCAUCAUGAUGGCUCUUCUCUACUCCAGUGUCGGAGCGGCCGCGGCUGUCGGCCUCAUCGGAUACAAAGGGAACACCCACGUCCGGUGGAACAAGGUGUGUGACGUGUUUGGUAAAUUUUGUGGACAAGUCGUGGCGGCAAUUGCCAUUUCACUAGUUGGUUCUAUAUUGUUUUUGUUGUUGGUGUUGUUGGCUACGGUGAACCUCCAUAAGAACAUACGUCAUUAACAAGUUGACUUGAACACUAUAGUUUUUCUAUAUACUUAAGGUUAUUUUAUUGUAUUGUAUUAGAUAAUAACUAGGCUAUGGUGUUUUCUUUAAUUUAAUUUACACGUAC
rnacentral:misc_RNA from 1 species